rnacentral:rRNA from 1 species
GUUUGAUCCUGGCUCAGGAUGAACGCUAGCUACAGGCUUAACACAUGCAAGUCGAGGGGAAACGACAUCGAAAGCUUGCUUUUGAUGGGCGUCGACCGGCGCACGGGUGAGUAACGCGUAUCCAACCUGCCCAUCACUUGGGAAUAACCUUGCGAAAGUAAGACUAAUACCCAAUGACAUCCCACGAAGGCAUCCGAAUGGGAUUAAAGAUUUAUCGGUGAUGGAUGGGGAUGCGUCUGAUUAGCUUGUUGGCGGGGUAACGGCCCACCAAGGCAACGAUCAGUAGGGGUUCUGAGAGGAAGGUCCCCCACAUUGGAACUGAGACACGGUCCAAACUCCUACGGGAGGCAGCAGUGAGGAAUAUUGGUCAAUGGGCGAGAGCCUGAACCAGCCAAGUAGCGUGCAGGAAGACGGCCCUAUGGGUUGUAAACUGCUUUUAUAAGGGAAUAAAGUGAGUCUCGUGAGACUUUUUGCAUGUACCUUAUGAAUAAGGACCGGCUAAUUCCGUGCCAGCAGCCGCGGUAAUACGGAAGGUCCGGGCGUUAUCCGGAUUUAUUGGGUUUAAAGGGAGCGUAGGCCGGAGAUUAAGCGUGUUGUGAAAUGUAGAGGCUCAACCUCUGCACUGCAGCGCGAACUGGUCUUCUUGAGUACGCACAACGUGGGCGGAAUUCGUGGUGUAGCGGUGAAAUGCUUAGAUAUCACGAAGAACUCCGAUUGCGAAGGCAGCUCACGGGAGCGCAACUGACGCUGAAGCUCGAAAGUGCGGGUAUCGAACAGGAUUAGAUACCCUGGUAGUCCGCACGGUAAACGAUGGAUGCCCGCUGUUGGCCUGAAUAGGUCAGCGGCCAAGCGAAAGCAUUAAGCAUCCCACCUGGGGAGUACGCCGGCAACGGUGAAACUCAA